rnacentral:tRNA from 1 species
AGGUAAUUAACUCAACAGGUAGAGUAUCAGUUUUACAUACUGAAAGUUACAAGUUCAAAUCUUGUAUUGCCUA